ensembl:lncRNA
GAGAGAUGUCCUAGUGCACACAGUUUGGAGCCCAGUGUAGGGUGUUGGAGCCCAAUAAGAGUGAGGAGAGUUUCUGUGUAUCUGGAGAGACACAGCUCAGUGUGGAACAUUGGAGCUCUGGCAGAGGAAGGAGCAAACUACACUAGUGGAAAAAACAACAGGAAGUGUUGGGAGCUUCCUGGGGCAAGAGGCACCUGCCGGCCAGACUCAGAGGGCAGCAAAGGUGAAGAUGCAGGCAGGCUCAGCAGGCCAGUUUUCUCCACGUCUCCAGCACACGUGCCUCUCCCGCAUCUCUUGGAGCAUCAGCUGGUCAAGAUGUUCUUUCCUUGCCCUCCAGACCCAGCCAAGGUAGCACUGACAAAUGAGGUCAGAUUUGGGGGCCGAGGUGAGUGAAGCAUUUUAUAUUUAUAUCCAUAGACACACACUCUUGUGUAUGUUCCAGUGACUUCAGGGGACUUCCCACAGCCAUGGGUGUCCUGUGUCUAGUGUGAGCUAACUGCCUGACCCACUGAGUUCUCUGGACACAAGUCACUGGGUGAAGGGCGGCGUUGUGGGGCUUAUGGAUUAAGGCGAGAAGGGUAGCUUUCUCAAUGUCAUUUGGCUCUCUUCUAUCUGUUUACUAUGACAGUAACAUAUAUGUAGGAUUUUUUUGGCAGGGUAUUUGUUUUAUUUUUCCCCUCUCUGUGACUGCACGUUUCAACUUUAAGGAUGCACAGAACACAGUGACUUCAUAACAUUCAGACUGACUGGGGCUUUUCUGGGUGAUUACUCUGAUUAAUGUAAUUGGGGGGAUAUGCAUACAGUAUAAAUAAAAUCCUUAGGAGGGUGUUUGGUACAAAAUCAGUACUAGAUCAGUAUUGGUUAUUACUGUGACACUCUAUGGAGGAAUAAAACUUUCUAGGUAGAAGGGAGAGUUUCAGGGGAGACAAAAAGGAGGUGAUGAGAAAUGGUAGGAAAUAACAAGAUUUAACAGUUUAGAAGGUAUGUUGAACACAUAUUAUGUGCAAAGCACUGGCUGAGACUCCAGGAAUAAAAUGAUAAAGAAAAGAGCUUACAGCCCUGCUCUCAAAGAAUUCACAAUCAGUGGAUGAAACUUAACUGAGCUAAGUGAAUGUGAGUCUCCCAUUUUUAUGCAGAAGUCUAGCCACUCUAGUAUAUAUAUAACACAAACUGGUCUGUGUUCAAAGGAGCUAAAGAAUGUCUAACAAAAUUCAAGGAGUUUCAGGGAAGGGUGGAUAUCCUCUCCUCAUUAACAUAUAAAUAGGGCAGCACUUCCAUUAUGGAUCUUUUUUCUACUUUACGGGUCACUUAGCACAAAAGAUGAGUUUAAAUAAAGUAAAAAUACAUUGGAUUGUUGUGGAAGACACUGCGAGGUGUUCCCCUAAAGGCCAUUUCUAUUUCUUUAUUGUUUAGAGAAUUUGUUUCGUUUUGGUUUGAGGUAACAGUGUGCUCGGGAAAGGUGGCUCUCAACCUUCAAUAAUCCCAGAAAAUGGACCUCGAUUAGUUUAGAGCUAACAUUUUUGCUAGGGUCUCUCCCUUUGCCAGUAAUUGGUUUGGAGUGGCAAGCAACCCUGUUCUGGCUAAUGGAAAGUGAGGGAAAAUAUGUUGGGAAAUUACACAUGAAGACGUUUGAGAAUUAAGGUCAAUACAAAAAAUGUGGUUGAUCUCUACAUGGAGAAAAUACCUUGCUCUGUGGCCUUGGGCAUUUAUCAUUUUACCCCCCAGGGCGCCGCUUCCCCACUAUAUCAUGUUAAUAACCCUUGCCCUAUCUAAUUAACAAGAUUAUUGUUAAUGUUAUAGAAAACCAUGGAUUUUAACACAAUUUCCAAAUUUUAAACGUCUGUAAGACAUAAAUGAUUACUACUAAUUGUAAAUUACCUUGAACUCUUAAG